ACAGAGGAUGCAAGCGUUAUCCGGAAUCACUGGGCAUAAAGCGUCUGUAGGUUGCUUGUCAAGUCUGCUGUUAAAGAUCAGGGCCUAACCCUGGAAAAGCAGUGGAAACUAACAGGCUUGAGUGUGGUAGAGGUAGAGGGAAUUCCUGGUGUAGCGGUGAAAUGCGUAGAUAUUAGGAAGAACACCAAUGGCGAAAGCACUCUACUGGGCCAUAACUGACACUGAGAGACGACAG
rnacentral:rRNA from 1 species